rnacentral:rRNA from 1 species
UUACCUGGCCUUGACAUACUAAGAACUUUCCAGAGAUGGAUUGGUGCCUUCGGGAACUUAGAUACAGGUGCUGCAUGGCUGUCGUCAGCUCGUGUCGUGAGAUGGUUGGGUUAAGUCCCGCAACGAGCGCAACCCUUUUCCUUAUUUGCCAGCGGGUUAAGCCGGGAACUUUAAGGAUACUGCCAGUGACAAACUGGAGGAAGGCGGGGACGACGUCAAGUCAUCAUGGCCCUUACGGCCAGGGCUACACACGUGCUACAAUGGUCGGUACAAAGGGUUGCUACCUCGCGAGAGGAUGCUAAUCUCAAAAAGCCGAUCGUAGUCCGGAUCGCAGUCUGCAACUCGACUGCGUGAAGUCGGAAUCGCUAGUAAUCGCGGAUCAGAAUGCCGCGGUGAAUACGUUCCCGGGCCUUGUACACACCGCCCGUCACACCAUGGGAGUUUGUUGCACCAGAAGUAGGUAGUCUAACCGCAAGGAGGACGCUUACCACGGUGUGGCCGAUGACUGGGGUGAAGUCGUAACAAGGUAGGCGUAGAUGA